GGGGAUGUAUUUGGCCUCGCUAUCAAUGCUCUAAAAUCAUUCGUGGCAACCAGGAGCUGGUCGUGUUGCUCCUCUAAGUAAUCCACGGCAAACAUACUUGCAAAAAAUACUUUUGCUCGCGCUAACUCAAUGAUUGCUUCUGCAUUUGCUCCUGCAUUUGCUGCGUAAUCGGGUUUCCCGCGUUUUGUCCGCAAUUUUCGGACAACGUUUCUGCUGCCGACUCCUCUGAGUGGUAGGGGCGUAAUCUAGAGGAUAGGGAAGAAGGAGAGAUGGGGGCUCCUUCCGACUAAAACUUUUCUCCUAUGUCAUCACGCGGCUUUUGUGCCUUUUCUAUCGCGCGGUGUCUGAAACAAAGGGUACUAAGGUUGUAGAAGCGCUUGGUUUUCAUUGAUAUACCCGGGUUCGACUCCCGGCAUCUCCACCA
rnacentral:tmRNA from 1 species